ensembl:lncRNA
AUGAUGGAUUGGACAUUGUGUAUUGUAUGCCAAAAGUCUACUCAUGAACCACUCCGAUGCCCUUUAAAUGCGGAUGGAUUUGAAGAGAAUUCUGAGCCAUACAAAUCCUUCCUGGACAAUGUGAAUUAUUUCAGGGAGGUGAAUCAACUGCCAGUACCACUUCCUUUUGAUGAGGCCAGUAAUGUGGAGCAGUUCGCCAGGCAUCGUGCACAGUGGCAUAAGUCUUGUCACUUUAAAUUCUGUGCAGACAAACUGGAAAGAGCACGGAAGAGGGCGAGAGCUAGUUUUUCUGAAACCUGUGCUGCAGCUGAGAAACGACAGCGGCGUGAGCCUCUGGACAAGAGCGCAUGUUUGUUUUGUGGAAAGUCUGAUGGACGACUUCACAACUACGAGAGUCUUGAUGCAGAUGAGAAUCUCAAGGUUAAGGCCACAGAACUGGGUGAUACAGAACUAUCAAGCAGACUUGCGGGUGGUGACGUCAUUGCUUUAGAGGCAAAAUAUCACCUGACUUGCUUGACUGGAUUUCGAAAUCGACAUCGAUCGCUAACAAGACAACGCCAAAACUCCUCAGACUGUAAGAAACAAGAGAGACAAAUCAAAUCCAAAGCCUUUGUAGAGCUUGUCAGCCAUGUGGAAAAUUCUGUGGAAGGUGGUCAAUUCCACUUCAAGUUCUCAUCCCUGCGUGAACUGUAUGAAAACCGCCUGCUCAAGCUUGGUAUCACAAAGGAAAUCAACAAGGUCCGCUUCAAGGAACAAGUCCUGAAGUACUUUCCCUAUGCUCAGGAGCAAAGAGAUGGAAAGAAUGUGGUACUUGUUUUUGAACCAGGAAUGCAGGAAAUGUUGAAGCAGACAUUGAACUCUGACCAUGUGGAGGAUGCACUGAUUCUAGCCAAGGCUGCCAAACUUGUGCGCCGUGAUAUAUUCAACUCUGCUGGAUUCAGGUUCAAUGCCUCGUUCCCCUCGGAAUGCCAGCAGAACUCUGUUCCCACCAGUCUCAAGACCCUGGUCACAAUGAUGCUGGUCGGUGCAGACCUGAAGGAUCAGAGCACUACUGACUCCCAGGCCUGCCUCACUAUCUCACAGACCAUCUUGUUUAACUGUAAGAAGAAGGCUUCAACCUCCAAAUCACGACAUUCACUGGAGUACGAACCACCCUUGCCACUUUACAUCGGACUAAGUAUGCACACGCAGACCAGGUCAAAGAAAGUGAUAACACAGCUCUUUGAUUUGGGCCUCGGUGUCAGCUAUGAUCGGGUGGUGGAAGUGGAGAAUCAGCUGGCUACAGCUGUCUGUGAGAACAUUGAGAAGAACGGUGUUGUGUGUCCUGCUCAGCUACGCAAAGGCCUCUUCACUGUUAGUGCUCUCGACAACAUUGAUCAUAACCCAUCAAGCACCACAGCCAAAGGUUCCUUCCAUGGCACAGGCAUCAGUCUUUUUCAGUUCCCCUCCAUGUCUAAUGUGGGACACUGCCAGGAUGGAAUAGGCAUGCCUUCGCCAGAAACAAAAAGGAAUCAUCGCUUACCUGACAACUUCACCAAUGUGCCGGCAGUUGCACUCAAGAAGGCUAAUGUGGCUGUUCCCAAGACACCCAAUCCGACAAAAACAAUCGAGGGACACCUUAGUGGAGCACAUGUGAAAGAGGAAUGCUGGAUUGAGCAUUCACUGAAGGUGAUCGAAAAGGAGGAGCUAGACCAGGGAGACAUUGUGGCCUGGUCAGCCUACCACGCAUCUCUACAUGAUGUAUCAGAUGACCUGCAGCCUGCUCUCACUCAGCUCUUGCCACUGUUCUACGAGAAGGCUGCUACGGCUUCCAUGAUCAAGCAUGGGAUGGAUGUACAGCGUGAAGCCACACAGUUCCUGAAUCCAGGACAGAUCCCAGUAAUGGCUGUGGACGCACCACUGUACGCACUGGCCAAAUAUGUUCAGUGGAACUGGCCUCAAACACAUGGUGAAGACAAAUGUGUAGUCAUGUUUGGUGGCCUCCAUAUCGAAAUGGCAAUGUGGAAGACAUUUGGUGACUAUUUGGAAGCUUCUGGAUGGACCACAGCACUGACUGAGGCGGGCAUUGCAUCCACUGGCACAGCCGACUCCUUCCUCAAAGCAUCCCACCUCACCAGGACAAGACAUGCCCAUCAAGUGAGCGCCCUGGCACUGGCAAAGUUGCAGCACAAUGCCUUCUUGUACAUGAUGCCUGAGGGACCACAUGAUGAGAAGACCAAAGAAGCCUGGAGACAAGACAUGAUCAGAAAGAGUCCAACAUUCCAGUACUGGGAUACCAUCCUCAACAUGGAACUUCUGGGUCUGAUAUUUGUGCGGGCCCACAGAGAACAGGAUUUUCCACUCUAUGUGGAGACACUCAAGGCUCUUGUUCCAUGGUUCUUUGCCCUUGAUCACCAGAACUACGCACGAUGGAUCCCUGUCCACAUUCGCGACAUGGAAAGCUUGCCCUCAUCCAUUCACAGGGAAUAUCAAGAACAUGGCCAUUGGGUCGUUAACAAGACCACAAACAGAUUCUCUAGCAUGCCGAUAGAUCAGGCUCAUGAGCAGAACAACGAUCUGGUGAAGGGUUCCGGGGGUGCAGUGGGACUCACAGAAAAUCCCUCUGCCUUCAAGAAGUGGAUGAUCGCAGGGCCUGAACAAGCACGACUCCUAAAAGAGUUUGAGCAAGAGUAUAUGUCAGAAGAAGUCAAGAAACAACAACAUCACGAAGAAGGACUGUCCACACAGAAGAUAUUCAAAGGCCAAGCCCUCACUCUGGUGACCACCAUCAGUGGGAUGAGCAAUCCGUUCCUAGACAACACCCCAGAGCUACUUACGCUGGACACACGGAAUGUGAUUGACGGGUCUGUGGUCAACACUGUCCGCACUGUGGAAUCAGUGGGCAGGGAUCAGUACAACAACUACAAUAAGACAGUGAUAGUGGACCGCACACACUCCAUCCAUGAGCCCAUCAAACAUAACUCGCUGCCGCUCUUCAGAUGCCCAACACCCAAGACCAAGAGCAAGCAGGCAGGGCAGAUCUCAAUGUUGAAGGAUGAUGUGGCACUCUUCUCACGAUUGUACAUAGCCACUCAACACAGAGAGGGGGACCUGAGCACCUUCUUUGAGCACGAAAACCAUCCAUACCCUCCUUCUCUAUCUGAUAGAGGGAAACUACGGCUGGGAAAGAAGUCAGAUCUGCUAAACGUCCUUGCACAGAAGACACAACCGGAACCUCCUGCUACUUUUGAUGUCAAAGUACUUGACGGAGCUGCUGUGGUCCACUUCCUGUCCCCUACCAACAUCACCACGUUUGAAGAAUAUGCCAGCUGUGUCUUUAUUCCCCACAUCAUGAAACACUUGUGGACCUCUAAAAGAGUUGACGUCGUCUGGGAUACUUACUUCCCCAGCAGUCUAAAAGAGUCAACCAGGGAGAAGCGAGGCAAAGGGAUACGACGGAAGGUGUCUGGUCAGAACAAGCUGCCGGGGAAUUGGCCGGAUUUCCUGCGUGACCCUAAGAACAAGGAGGAACUCUUCACCUUUAUCUCAGGGAAGAUUGAGUCCACUGUGUGGCCAGAGGGGAAGCUGGUCUUCAUUACCUCUGGAACCAGAGUGGUCGGCACAGACACCAGCCACUCCAUGCUGCCAUGCAACCAUGAAGAGGCCGAUACUAGGAUACUGAUCCACCUACUUGAUGCCCUGGAGCAUGGCUCUUCUACCUGCUUGGUGCGCACUGUGGAUACAGAUGUUGUUGUGAUCCUCAUUGGCAAGUUCCAUGCCCUGCUCACCCAGUAUCCAGCUGCAAACAUCUGGAUUGCUUUUGGCACUGGCAAGAACUACACCUAUCUGCAUGUAAAUACCAUCAGCCACGCUCUGGGAAAGGACAAGUCAACCGCUCUUCCAGUCUUCCACUGCUACACAGGCUGUGACACAACCUCAGCAUUCUGUGGGAAGGGGAAGAAGUCAGCAUGGAUUGCUUGGAACUCCUACCCAGAGGUCACACAGGCCUUCAACUACAUAGCAGCAAAUCCGCACACUGCUGUGACCAUAGAUGCCCAACACUUCCGAUGUCUGGAGCGCUUCACUGUUGUUCUUUAUGACAAGACGAGUGAAUUGGAAUCAGUGAAUGGUGCAAGAAGAGAGUUGUUCUGCCAGAAGACCAAGGCAAUGGAACAUAUUCCACCAACCCAAGGAGCACUGAUCCAACACGUGAAAAGAGUCACUUACCAGUCUGGGAUCUGGUCAACAUCCGAAAAAACCCAGCAGCCAAUACCCAGCCCUGAAGGAUGGGGAUGGACACUGGAUGUAGACAGCCAGGCCUGGCUUCCUGUGUGGAGCACCUUGCCAAUCGCUUCAAAAGCCUGCAGUGAACUAAUCAAAUGCAGUUGUAUAAAGGACUGUACGGCAAGGUGCUCAUGCAAAAAAGCACAGUGGAAUUGCACAGGCCUUUGCAGUUGCAAAUGUUACACCAACUAA